UGGGGAAUUUUCCGCAAUGGGCGCAAGCCUGACGGAGCAAGACCGCGUGGGGGAGGAAUGCCUUAGGGUUGUAAACCCCUUUUAGAUGGGAAGAAUAACUGACGGUACCAUCUGAAUAAGCCUCGGCUAACUCCGUGCCAGCAGCCGCGGUAAUACGGAGGAGGCAAGCGUUAUCCGGAUUUAUUGGGCGUAAAGCGUCCGCAGGUGGCUUUUAAAGUCUGGUGUUAAAGACAGUGGCUCAACCACUGAAAGGCAGCAGAGACUGAGAGGCUAGAGUGCGGUAGGGGCAGAGGGAAUUCCCGGUGUAGCGGUGAAAUGCGUAGAUUUCGGGAAGAACAUCGGUGGCGAAAGCGCUCUGCUGGGCCGCAACUGACACUCAGGGACGAAAGCUAGGGGAGCGAAUGGGAUUAGAUACCCCCGUAGUCC
rnacentral:rRNA from 1 species